GAAUAUUUAUUGAUAUGAUUUUUUGGUGGAAACAAACCGGAGGAAGUGAUGCACAACUCAGAAAAAGGUAAGUGAUGUGAAAUUUCUAGGUGCAUUGCUAUUUACACUACCAUGCAAUGACAUUCAAAUACGUAUUAAGCAUGUCCUUAAUAAAGUUUAACAUGCCAUUUUCUAUUAGAGUACUCCGAUCCAAGCUGGAUAUGUAGCUAGCCUCUCCUAAUCUGCCUGUAAAAGACACUCUCCUAAUCUUCCCAUGCUUUCAGUUUCUUCGGUAUCGGAGUUCUCAUCUAUUCUUUGAGAUUUCCAAAAAUUUGUGGUCUCCUUCCUGUUAUGUCACUAUUAAGUCUUCAGUUCAACGUGACACAUGCAGGGCCACCUUAAGUGCUCAACUGCCACAUCUAGCGGGAUAUGGAGAGGGACACGGAGAUUAUAUGCGUACCGAUGGUUGCGGGUUGAUGAAUACGGACCUGCUGAUGCAGUGGUGAGGACUAUAUACCCCAUGUACUUUACCAUGAACAAUCCAAGGUUGACUAAUAAAAUAUUGAUAGGAUCUACCAUUUAUUACUUUCUCUUUUUAAAAUGUGAAUAUGUUUCUAGACAUUGAAUAAAUCUUGAUAGGAUCUGCCAUUUACGGUUUUCUCUUUUUAAAAUGUGAUUAUGUUUAUAGACUUUGAAUAAUAAAAACAUCAAUUUCUCAAGAUUCUGAAUAAAACUUUUUUAUAUGGAUUUCUGCUUUAUUUAUCUGCUGUGAUCAGUGUUUUCUUCUUGCAUGUGGCUUAGUAACACCAACCAAUACAUGUCUUUACGCAUGUGAUUUGUUUGUUCCUCUCAUUCUAUUAUUAAACUUAUUAAUUUGAUCUUUUUCGUUAUACAGAUCACUUCUGACAUUACCAGUUCCUGCACUCCUGGACUCCUCCUUUACCAACGACCCACAUGCAAAAUAACGUAAGCUGUCAGGCUCCAACUUGAUAAUCUAGAUGACAUGGUCACUAUACUGAGAACUGUUUUCCUUCAAAUGUAGAAAAAAAUGUUGCUCAAUCUGCUAUUUACAGAAAAAUGAGUAGCUGGCACUUGCUUCUAUUAAAUAGACAGUCAAUUUGUAGUAUGCAUCAGUACAACAAAAAGCCUUUUAGGUUGCCUGCCAGUUUAAAUUAUUUCUAUAAUGGUAAAUAGACAGUCAAUUUGUAGUAUGCAUCAGUACCACAAAAAGCCUUUUAGGUUGCCUGUCAGUUUGUAUUAUCUCUAUAAUGGUGAUUGGAUAUUGUGGGCUCUGCCUGUCAUUUUAGCAUGCUACAGAUUUCUACCUAAGGUGAUUAUCAGCUUGAAUUUGAGCAGAAGGCUAAAGCUGUUCUUGGAACUUACAACAGGGUUGUAUUUCCAAAUGAAAAAAGAUGACAAAGCUCUAUUUUUUUAGAAUGUUACCUUUUACUAUGCCUGGUCAGAAACAAGCGAAUCCUCUCGAGUUUGUCGAGUUGUUUGCAGUGAUCACCUGCCAUUUUUUAUUUGUAUAAUGUUUGAAGUUUGCAUGAAUGGAUUCAAUGAAAUUAUAGGUGCCAUACUACUUUGGUCGUGAUUAUGCUUCCAGAUAUUUAUAGAAAUCACUAUCAUUCUUUUCAAAAUAGGACGGGCGCGACAACGCGCGCCAUCCAUGAUCUAGUGACUACUAAUAGCAAGACUUCUUCCAUGUCUUCAAGAACAAAAGUAACUACUCACAAAGUAUAAAUAUGUUCAUAACCAGAGG
rnacentral:lncRNA from 1 species